GUUUAAAGAACUUAGGCUAAGUGUGCGUCACGUCCUGUGGCAAAACCUAAGUAACCAACAGGGAGG
rnacentral:sRNA from 1 species